rnacentral:rRNA from 1 species
UACGUAGGGUGCGAGCGUUGUCCGGAAUUAUUGGGCGUAAAGAGCUCGUAGGCGGUUCGUCGCGUCGAAUGUGAAAACCCGGGGCUCAACUCCGGGCCUGCAUUCGAUACGGGCGGACUAGAGUUCGGUAGGGGAGACUGGAAUUCCUGGUGUAGCGGUGAAAUGCGCAGAUAUCAGGAGGAACACCGGUGGCGAAGGCGGGUCUCUGGGCCGAUACUGACGCUGAGGAGCGAAAGCGUGGGAAGCGAACAGG